rnacentral:piRNA from 1 species
UGCUGUCAAUGGUAGGAAGGAAAGAUGA